rnacentral:lncRNA from 1 species
GACAAAGGGUCCACACCAGGUCAGCUGGGGCUCCCACCAUUUCCCCCCACCCAGGGCACAACCUGCAUCUACAACCUGCACACCCAGCUACUGGCACUAAAUGUAUUCCUCAACAUAGCCCAUUUUGAGGAAAGCCCUAUUUGAGCACAGCUGAGAAGAUCAUACCGUGUCCCAAUUCAAAUGCAUGACUGUGAUCCCUGAAGAAGGGUUUCCACGAAACAGGGUCAAACAGAACAGAAAGCACAUGAGAAUUAUACUGCUGCCUUGUUUCUGCACACAGGACAGAAAAAUAAAGGCAAAUAAAUUUAUCCAAGAAAAAAUAUCUCCAGACCAGAAUUUUUUCUGUACUGAGAAAUAGAAAAAAAAAAACCAAGAACAAUUAAAAAAAGAAUUCUACAGAGACGGCAUUAAAAACAAACCAAUCAGUUCUGCUCAAAAAGAGCUCUCCUAUAAUUCCCCAGGGGAUCUACAAACAGUAACCAAUAAAAGAGUUCCGAACUCUCCA